CCAAUAGCGUAUAUUAAAGUUGCUGCAGUUAAAAAGCUCGUAGUUGAAUUUCGGGACCAAUAUGUCGGUCGUGCCUCGGUACGUACUGGCAUCGUUGGUUUCUCCCUUCUGAUGAACCAUGAUGUCAUUUAUUUGGUGUCGUGGGGAAUCAGGACUGUUACUUUGAAAAAAUUAGAGUGUUUAAAGCAGGCUCACGCUUG
rnacentral:rRNA from 1 species